rnacentral:rRNA from 1 species
GGCUGUUUAGUUGUUAGGUUGGUUAUUUUGGUUUAUUUGCCUUUUGCGUCAUGCUUAACGGAGUUUUUUAAAGUAUAUUUUUAUACCGAAAGGUUUUGAUCUUAGGUUUGAUUGUUUGGAAGUGUUGUUAGGUCUGAGUAAGGUUUUGUAGAUUGAAUCUAUGAGGUGAUAAGUAAGUCGUAAAGCUUUAUAGCUGUUUAGUUGUUUAUAAUUUAGUGAAAUAUGUGUGGCUAUUAGGUCAUUCAUAUUUUUAUACACUUGGUUGUGUUGGUGUGUUGUUUAUAAGGUUAGAGGUACCUAUUUUUUGUUAUAUUGUUGUAAAUAUGGUCUUUGUUGGUUUAGUUAUGUGUUAAUUAUUUGAACGACUGUUUUUUAUAUUUGGUAAUUAUAUUAUCGUUAAAUAAGUAAUUUUAUUAUGCUAUUUAUUUCUUGAGUUCUUUCCGUCUGUUUAUUAAAAACAUUUCUAACUUAAAUUAUAGUUGGUAGUGCCUGCCCAAUGUUGGUUAAUUAAUGGCCGCAGUAUAUUGACUGUGCGAAGGUAGCAUAAUUAAUUGCCUUUUAAUUGGAGGCUUGUUUGAAUGGUUUGACGUGAUUGGUAUGAAUAUUUGGUAUUUGAUUGAAAUUGAUUUUAAGGGUUUAGAAUCCUUAGUGUUUAAUAAGACGGAAAGACCCUAGGAUCUUUUGUUUUUGUUUGGGGCAAAUUUUGUUGUUUUAUGGAUAUUGUGACCCUGAAGUGAGAUUGGUUUAUUGGGUUAAGUUACCCUAGGGAUAACAGUGUGAUGAUUAAUUAGAGGUCUUAUCGAAUUAAUUGUUUGCCACCUCGAUGUUGACUUAGGCUAAGGUCUUGGUGUAGUAGUUGAGAUUUAAGGUCUGUUCGACCUUUGAGCCUCCAUGAGUUGAGUUAAGACCGGCGUGAGCCAGGUCGGUUCUUAUCUAUUGUAGAAGUUUAUCAGUACGAAAGGACAGUAAAUUUUUUUAUU